UGGUGGGUAGUUUGACUGGGGCGGUCUCCUCCUAAAGAGUAACGGAGGAGCACGAAGGUUGGCUAAUCCUGGUCGGACAUCAGGAGGUUAGUGCAAUGGCAUAAGCCAGCUUGACUGCGAGCGUGACGGCGCGAGCAGGUGCGAAAGCAGGUCAUAGUGAUCCGGUGGUUCUGAAUGGAAGGGCCAUCGCUCAACGGAUAAAAGGUACUCCGGGGAUAACAGGCUGAUACCGCCCAAGAGUUCAUAUCGACGGCGGUGUUUGGCACCUCGAUGUCGGCUCAUCACAUCCUGGGGCUGAAGUAGGUCCCAAGGGUAUGGCUGUUCGCCAUUUAAAGUGGUACGCGAGCUGGGUUUAGAACGUCGUGAGACAGUUCGGUCCCUAUCUGCCGUGGGCGCUGGAGAACUGAGGGGGGCUGCUCCUAGUACGAGAGGACCGGAGUGGACGCAUCACUGGUGUUCGGGUUGUCAUGCCAAUGGCACUGCCCGGUAGCUAAAUGCGGAAGAGAUAAGUGCUGAAAGCAUCUAAGCACGAAACUUGCCCCGAGAUGAGUUCUCCCUGACCCUUUAAGGGUCCUGAAGGAACGUUGAAGACGACGACGUUGAUAGGCCGGGUGUGUAAGCGCA
rnacentral:rRNA from 1 species